rnacentral:rRNA from 1 species
UACGGGGGGGGUAAGCGUUGUUCGGAAUUACUGGGCGUAAAGGGUGCGUAGGCGGCCUUGUAAGUCAGUGGUGAAAGCCUCCAGCUCAACUGGAGAACUGCCAUUGAUACUGCAAGGCUUGAGUACAGACGAGGUUGGCGGAAUUGAUUGUGUAGCGGUGAAAUGCAUAGAUACAAUCAAGAACUCCGAUUGCGUAGGCAGCUAACUAGGCUGUAACUGACGCUGAGGCACGAAAGCGUGGGGAGCGAACAGG